rnacentral:rRNA from 1 species
GAUGAACGCUGGCGGCGUGCCUAAUACAUGCGAGUCGAGCGAACGGACGAGAAGCUUGCUUCUCUGAUGUUAGCGGCGGACGGGUGAGUAACACGUGGAUAACCUACCUAUAAGACUGGGAUAACUUCGGGAAACCGGAGCUAAUACCGGAUAAUAUUUUGAACCGCAUGGUUCAAAAGUGAAAGACGGUCUUGCUGUCACUUAUAGAUGGAUCCGCGCUGCAUUAGCUAGUUGGUAAGGUAACGGCUUACCAAGGCAACGAUGCAUAGCCGACCUGAGAGGGUGAUCGGCCACACUGGAACUGCGACACGGUCCAGACUCCUACGGGAGGCAGCAGUAGGGAAUCUUCCGCAAUGGGCGAAAGCCUGACGGAGCAACGCCGCGUGAGUGAUGAAGGUCUUCGGAUCGUAAAACUCUGUUAUUAGGGAAGAACAUAUGUGUAAGUAACUGUGCACAUCUUGACGGUACCUAAUCAGAAAGCCACGGCUAACUACGUG